rnacentral:snRNA from 1 species
GGAUAUAAAGACGAUGUGGCUAUGACAUCUGUAUCCCCAGUGACCAACCAGGAUUGAUUCGACUGAUCUGGCUGGCUAGGCGGGUGUCCCUUCCUCCCUCACUCUGUGUGCAUCCCUCUUGAAGCUGUGUGCUCAAACAGGACGACCUUCCCCUCCAGAGACGGACCAGUCUUCAGCCGAGGGGAACCUGGACUGAGUUCUCAACUCGCAGUCUUGGCACCCCCAAGCUGUUGUG